AGUGAACGCUGGCGGUAGGCCUAACACAUGCAAGUCGAACGGCAGCACAGUAAGAGCUUGCUCUUACGGGUGGCGAGUGGCGGACGGGUGAGGAAUACAUCGGAAUCUACUUUUUCGUGGGGGAUAACGUAGGGAAACUUACGCUAAUACCGCAUACGACCUACGGGUGAAAGCAGGGGAUCUUCGGACCUUGCGCGAUUGAAUGAGCCGAUGGCGGAUUAGCUAGUUGGCGGGGUAAAGGCCCACCAAGGCGGCGAUCCGUAGCUGGUCUGAGAGGGUGAUCGGGCACACUGGGACUGAGAAACGGGCCAGACUCCUAAGGGAGGGCGCAGUGGGGAAAUUUGGGAAAUGGGGGGAAGCCUGAAGGAGCAAAGCCGCGUGGGUGAAGAAAGCCUUUGGGUUUUAAAACCCUUUUUUUGGGGAAAAAAAGAAAGGAGGUAAAUACCCCGGUGUUCGACGGGAACCAAAAAGAAAGCCACGGGUAACUACGUG
rnacentral:rRNA from 1 species